rnacentral:rRNA from 1 species
UACGGAGGGUGCAAGCGUUAUCCGGAUUCACUGGGUUUAAAGGGUGCGUAGGAGGGCAGGUAAGUCAAUGGUGAAAUCUCCGGGCUUAACUCGGAAACUGCCGUUGAUACUAUCUGUCUUGAAUACCGUGGAGGUGAGCGGAAUAUGUCAUGUAGCGGUGAAAUGCUUAGAUAUGACAUAGAACACCAAUUGCGAAGGCAGCUCACUACACGAAUAUUGACUCUGAGGCACGAAAGCGUGGGGAUCAAACAGG